AUAGCUGAUUGCACCAACAAAUACUUGAUGCAAUAUUGACUCUGUCAAAUAAAAUUCUAGGUAGAAUUAUGAUAAUGACAUUGUCUGCCUAUAUGUCUUGACCAAAUUACGUGCCAGCAGUCGCGGUAAUACGUAGAAGACUAGUGUUAUUCAUCUUUAAUAGGUUUAAAGGGUACCUAGACGGUAAAUCAAGCCUUCACAGGGACUAAUUUACUAGAGUUACUUACGAGGGGGUAUUAAAGUACUGCAGGUGUAGAGAUGAAAUUCUGUCAUACCUCUUUUCAAAAGAAAAAUCAUGGCACAGGUAUAGGUGAAAGCAUCCCCUUAUGUGAUAACUGACGUUGAAGGACGAAGGCUUUGUGUCGCGAACAGGAUUAGAUACCCCAGUAGUCAAAGCAGAAAAUGAUGAAUGUCAUAGAUUAGAUAAAUAGUUUAUUCUAUAAAUGAAAAUGUAAGCAUUCCACCUCAAGAGUAAUUUGGCAACAUUGGAACUGAAAUCAUUAGACCGUUUCUGAAACCAGUAGUGAAGUAUGUUGUUUAAUUUGAUGAUCCGCAAAAAACCUUACCACAAUUUGAAUAUUUAUAUCUAUCUUUUUUUUCGUAAAGAAAUAAAAAGGUAAUAUGUUUACAAGCGUUGCACGGCUGUCUUCAGUUAAUGUCGCGAGACUUUGGUUAGUUCCAUUAAAUUAACGUAAACCCUUACUUUAUUUUUAUAUGAAGUAGUUCCCCGCUAUAUUGGAUAUGAUAA
rnacentral:rRNA from 1 species